rnacentral:rRNA from 1 species
AUUGAACGCUGGCGGCAUGCCUUACACAUGCAAGUCGAACGGUAACGCGGGGCAACCUGGCGACGAGUGGCGAACGGGUGAGUAAUGCAUCGGAACGUGCCCAGUAGUGGGGGAUAGCCCGGCGAAAGCCGGAUUAAUACCGCAUACGACUUAUGGGUGAAAGCGGGGGAUCGCAAGACCUCGCGCUAUUGGAGCAGCCGAUGUCAGCUUAGGUAGUUGGUGGGGUAAAGGCCUACCAAGCCUUCGAUCUGUAGCUGGUCUGAGAGGACGACCAGCCACACUGGGACUGAGACACGGCCCAGACUCCUACGGGAGGCAGCAGUGGGGAAUUUUGGACAAUGGGCGCAAGCCUGAUCCAGCCAUGCCGCGUGCGGGAAGAAGGCCUUCGGGUUGUAAACCGCUUUUGUCAGGGAAGAAACGCUCUGGGUUAAUACCUCGGGGUAAUGACGGUACCUGAAGAAUAAGCACCGGCUAACUACGUGCCAGCCGCCGCCGUAAUAC